AUUGAACGCUGGCGGCAUGCCUUACACAUGCAAGUCGAACGGUAACAGGCCGCAAGGUGCUGACGAGUGGCGAACGGGUGAGUAAUGCAUCGGAACGUGCCCAGUCGUGGGGGAUAACUACUCGAAAGAGUAGCUAAUACCGCAUACGAUCUAUGGAUGAAAGCGGGGGACCGUAAGGCCUCGCGCGAUUGGAGCGGCCGAUGUCAGAUUAGGUAGUUGGUGGGGUAAAGGCUCACCAAGCCAACGAUCUGUAGCUGGUCUGAGAGGACGACCAGCCACACUGGGACUGAGACACGGCCCAGACUCCUACGGGAGGCAGCAGUGGGGAAUUUUGGACAAUGGGCGCAAGCCUGAUCCAGCAAUGCCGCGUGCAGGAAGAAGGCCUUCGGGUUGUAAACUGCUUUUGUACGGAACGAAACGGCUCUGGUUAAUACCCGGGGCUAAUGACGGUACCAUAAGAAUAAGCACCGGCUAACUACGUG
rnacentral:rRNA from 1 species